rnacentral:lncRNA from 1 species
GUGUUGUCAUACAUAUGCUGUUAGUUCUGUCAUACAUAUGAGAUCACCCAAAUGGUAUGUAUAACAUAAAAACGGUGUAAAAUCCAAUCAAACACAAGUGAUUCGUACAAGCAUAAAGAAUUUUGGUGGCAGAGCAGAGGACAUCUGAAUUGGUAUGUAAGAAAAAUUAAAGCCGGUAAAUCAACUAGGCAUAAAAUGCGAGCAUACAUACAUUCAUUAUACAGAGUCUAAAAUUUCUCCUAAGCAAAUUACAUUGAAGGGAAAUCCCUGCAAAGUAACCUUAUUUAACAACAACUUAAACAAACAAAACAAGGAAAAUGAU